AACACAUGCAAGUCGAACGGACUCUUCGGAUUAGUGGCGGACGGGUGAGUAACACGUGGGAACGUGCCUUUUGGUUCGGAAUAGCUCCUGGAAACGGGUGGUAAUGCCGAAUGUGCCCUUUGGGGGAAAGAUUUAUCGCCAUUAGAGCGACCCGCGUCUGAUUAGCUAGUUGGUGAGGUAAAGGCUCACCAAGGCUACGAUCAGUAGCUGGUCUGAGAGGAUGACCAGCCACAUUGGGACUGAGACACGGCCCAAACUCCUACGGGAGGCAGCAGUGGGGAAUCUUGCGCAAUGGGCGAAAGCCUGACGCAGCCAUGCCGCGUGAAUGAUGAAGGUCUUAGGAUUGUAAAAUUCUUUCACCGGGGACGAUAAUGACGUACCCGGAGAAGAAG
rnacentral:rRNA from 1 species